rnacentral:lncRNA from 1 species
GAGCUGCGAGCGCUCUGCUCCCAUGGCCAGCUCGCGCAGCCGCUCUAGCUCCUCGAGUCCUCCGCGGAGCCGCCCGACUGGUUAGAACAAAAAUACCAUUUAGAUAAGAUUGAAAUCAUGAAAACACGAACAUAAUCAAUACAAAUGCAUUGCAAAUCAAUAAUUUUGUUAACUACAACUAAUAUAAUUUCAUUUAAUACCUGGCCUACCGGCAGUAAGGCUAUGGCCCUAUUACUUGCUUUCUUUUUCACCUUAGCUUUUUUCUUACGCCACUUGCAGUGAUUGCAAAACUUACGGUACUUUGAGC